rnacentral:rRNA from 1 species
GUGAGGAAUAUUGGACAAUGGAUGGAAAUCUGAUCCAGCCAUGCCGCGUGCAGGAAGACGGCCCUAUGGGUUGUAAACUGCUUUUAUACGGGAGCAAUAAGGUCUAUGCAUAGAUUGAUGAGAGUACCGUAUGAAUAAGCAUCGGCUAACUCCGUGCCAGCAGCCGCGGUAAUACGGAGGAUGCGAGCGUUAUCCGGAUUUAUUGGGUUUAAAGGGUGCGUAGGCGGCUUUGUAAGUCAGCGGUGAAAUUUUGCAGCUUAACUGUAAAAGCGCCGUUGAUACUGUGAAGCUAGGAUUUGGUUGCUGUGGGCGGAAUGUGUGGUGUAGCGGUGAAAUGCAUAGAGAUCACACAGAAUAUCGAUUGCGAAGGCAGCUCACAAAGCCAAUAUUGACGCUGAGGCACGAAAGUGUGGGGAUCAAACAGGAUUAGAAACCCUGGUAGUCC